UGGGGAAUAUUGCACAAUGGGCGCAAGCCUGAUGCAGCCAUGCCGCGUGUAUGAAGAAGGCCUUCGGGUUGUAAAGUACUUUCAGUCGGGAGGAAGGUGUCAAGGUUAAUAACCUUGGCAAUUGACGUUACCGACAGAAGAAGCACCGGCUAACUCCGUGCCAGCAGCCGCGGUAAUACGGAGGGUGCAAGCGUUAAUCGGAAUUACUGGGCGUAAAGCGCACGCAGGCGGUUGAUUGAGUCAGAUGUGAAAUCCCCGGGCUUAACCCGGGAAUUGCAUCUGAUACUGGUCAGCUAGAGUCGUGUAGAGGGGGGUAGAAUUCCAUGUGUAGCGGUGAAAUGCGUAGAGAUGUGGAGGAAUACCGGUGGCGAAGCCGGCCCCCUGGACAAAGACUGAAGCUCAGGUGCGAAAGCGUGGGGAGCAAACAGG
rnacentral:rRNA from 1 species